GACCCCUGCCAAUGGGCAAAAGACACUUCAUUGGUGAUGUUGUUCUUAAGUCAUUCAGGGGCAGAGCAGUUGAUAGUCCUUGAUUCAUCUGAGCUUGAUGCCUGGCUCAGUGGCCAAAGCUGUUUCAUGCCUAGAGAACAAUA